AGUUACGGGAAUUGCCUCCGGCACGUAUUACUGUUCGUCCUUAUAAUCCUCUAGCCUUUUGGCAGAGGAUCAGGGCACGGGCUUUUCAGGAGGGGAAUUCGGAGUUGUCUGAGGCGAUAAACACCCCAAUGACGCAGCCCGCUGCUGAUCCUUCUGCGGCAAUGGCAUUUCCUGUUAUAAGGGGGGACCCAGCACAAGGGAUAAUGGACGAGCACAAACCGUAUUCGUGGAAGGACUGAGCAGGUCACCUGAGGCACUGGAGGAUUUGGAUCCACUGGACAACCACGAGUGUUCUGGACGCAAACACUGUCUGACAGUAGACCGCAGGUGGUAUGUGUACUGUCUAUGGAUCAAGCAUCACCAAUGUCAUUGAAGUUCCAUCAAUUAAUCAUGCUGAACCAACACAAAGUGCUUCCGCAGGGAAUGAAAAAUUCACCAACCAUUUGUGGUUAUCAGCAAUGUUAUCAGCAAUGGAAUCUGACACACGAGCUUCACUGGAACAAUAUGGCCUAGUAGUGGCUCCAGAAAAGGUACAACACGCUCAGCCAUGGCUUUAUUUAGGCAUGAAGGUGCUUGAUCCAACUGUGCAGCCAAAAGCAAUCCAAUUAAUGAUGGAGGUAAAAACCUUGAAUGAUGCACAGAAAUUAGCAGGAAUCAUUGAUUGGAUACGACCUUAUCUAGGUUUAACUCCAUCACAAUUGAGACCUCUUUUUGAGUUAUUAAAAGGGGACACUGAUAUUGCAGCACCGCGAUCCUUGACCCCUGAAGCAAAGCAAACAGUUGAGAUGGUGGAGCGGGCAAUACAGGAAAAGCAUGUUUGGAGAAUUGAGAUGACUGUUGCAAUACAGGUGUUAGUUUUAAUUAACGACAUAAUGCCAUUUGCAAUGAUUGUACAAUGGAAUCCUGGUUGGGAAGAUCCACUUAAUGUACUGGCAUGGGUCUUCUUGCCUUGUUGCAACAAAAAAACUGCUCCUGGUCUAUUUGAGUUAUUGGCACAAAUUAUCAUUAAGACCUGAACGAGAUGUUCAGAGUUAUUGGCAAGGGAUCCAGAGAAAAUUGUAUUGCCUGUGCAGGUGGAUUAUUUUGAUUGGUGUUCAGCAUUGCAAGCCGCAGACUAAUUGAUUUCGGCUGCAGCAAUGGGACCGGUGCCUAAUGUGAAACAACAAGCGAUUGAAUCUCAUCGGUUUUUGCAUCAAGGCUUUUGUGCCUUGAAGCGUCAGUUUCAUUUAAUAACUGCAGAGGCCCAUUCUAUUGUUGCAGCCUGCCCUGACUGUCAGGGCCAGCAUGUACCUGCGUAUUAUGGUACAAACCCCAGAGGUCUGCAAGCUUUGCAAAUUUGGCAAUCUGAUGUUACUCACAUUGGAGAGUUUGGUAAACUCAAAUAUGUGCAUGUGUCUGUUGACACAUUUUCUUCAGUCGUUGUAGCUACUGCACAUACAGGAGAAAUGGCUUGGGAUGUUAUUAGGCAUUGGAAGCAAGCUUUUGUUAUAUGUGGUGUUCCGCUUCAGAUUAAGAUUGAUAAUGGUCCUGCUUACGUUUCCGGCCGAGUGAAAAACUUCUUACAGCUUUGGGGGGUUACCCAUGUCACACGUAUCCCUCAUUCUUCUACCGGACAGUGCAUUGUGGAAUGUGCACAUGGUACAUUCAAACGCAUUCUUCAAAAACAAAAAGGGGGAAUGACUGGUGUACCCCCUGAAGCCCGGUUAAAUAAAGCCAUGUAUGUGCUGAAUUUUGUUAAUAUAACAGAGGAUUUGCAGGACCCACCUAUGGUUCGCCACUUUGAGUCACUGCAUAAAUUGACUACUGUUUCCCCCAGUGUCAAGAUUAGGGAGAAAGACCUGCAGAGUGGUCAAUGGUUGCCUCCAUGUGAUUUAUUAACCUGGGGAAGAGGGUAUGCUUGUGUCUCCACAGAUGGUGGCCCCCGGUGGGUUCCUGCUCGCUGUGUUUGACCUGUAAUGAAUGAUUCACACAAGUGAAGAAAGGAUGGUCUGACGACCAAAGCAGAACGCAUGUCGCCUGUAUAUAGAAAUGCUACAGCUUGGUGUAAUUAUGCUCCUUCUAACAUAACACACUCUUUUUCUGUUCUAGUUGCUUUGUAGGGAUAUUCUUAAUUUGUGGGGAAAGAGCGUGGGGGGGCAGUUCUAUCGAAACCUAAUGGUGGGCAAUGUAGUCUUGGGCAGUUUACAUUACUAACACCCAACCUUACUAUGAUCACGAACUGGGGAUGUUGGUUGAGUAAGCAGACCAAUGCUGCAUUGAUUGUGUUGAGUGGCUUGUUUAUUGAUGUUGAUAGUGUUAGACAUGCUAUAUUAUAAAAUAGAGCUAUAAUAGAUUUUUGUUAUUAGCCCAAGGACAUGGAUGUGAAGACUUUGAGGGAAUGUAUUAUACGAAUUUGGCAGAUCAUUGAAGAAAUUGCAAGUGAAUAACUUGUUUAAGAGAUGGGGACUGUCAAGGUUUAUCUUUGAUAAGAACUGGAUUGUUGGUUUUGUUCAUUAUUGUAGUUGUGUUAUUGAUGCUGCCAUGUCUUGGGUCUCUGCUGCGAAGGGCCCUGCAGCGGAUGGCAUGGGCAAUUUUUGUAGCACAAAUACAAAAAGGGGGAAUUGUGGGAAAACUCGGCUGGUCCAAGGGAUCAGAAUUCAAGUUUGAUGUUAACCUUGAGCAGACAACCGUGUACCCUUGAAGAGGCUGGAAAGCCCUGAGAAGAGCUGCAUAAACAAGAUAAGGAACUGCCAGAAGGAGACUGCCGGACUGCCAGAUGGGACAUGUAGAAGAAGCUUAUUGAAGUUACAGCAGAGGAGAAGUUGUCCAAUCAUGAACUGUUGGUCCUUGGCUGAACCAAUGAGAUAUAGACACACAUGCUUAGGAGAGGAUAGAAAAAGGCUUGUUAGAAUAAUAAAGUGUCCUUUUG